GGAAGAUGUGCAGGACAAAGCACGAUCUCAAAGAGUUCAGAGAUAAUGAGUAUUUUUGAAGCCUGCUCUCAGUUGUAUCUCUUCUGAAAAUACCUCUGGGUUGUUCUUCAGCAAGGGCACUGCCUUUACAUUCAGCCAGAUGAGUUGCAACCAUCAACAGCACAUUGCC